AAAUGCUAGUAGUCUGUUAGCCUAGCUGACGUAUUUUUGUGUCCAGGCUAUAAAAAUGUAGGGUAUGAAUGAAGUCCAUGUUAUUCAAAUGGAUGCCACUUUCUUCCACGUUUAUGUUCAAAUGCCUUUAAGUUUAAUGCAUAUGAGUGCAGAGCUGACAUGUUGUUUCUGUCUCACAGAAGCCUAAUGAGGUAAAAACAACUGGCCUGGCCCAUACUGCUCUGGAGCAGUGAGGGAGAGAGAACAGGUCCUCAUAGCUAAAGGUCAACUUUUGGCCUUUUUCUGGGCCAGCUUCUCUAAAAGUGAUGGAGGGGUGGGAGCGUGUUUGUGUGAGAUAGCAGCUGCUGGGCUCCAUCAAGGGAGCCGAGGAGUCGGGCGCCCCGCCGGACAGCACUGAUCCCAGAUGUAAGAGGGAGACAGGUUAAAGGAGACGAGGGGUAAGAUGUACCGCGACCCCCAACACAGCCACCACCACCACCACCACCUACGAAAUCCCUCUCAGACCAGUGACCCCCACACAAAACUAACUGCCAAACACCCUCUGACCUCUGGUGGUGCCCCUGAGGCCCAUGGGCCUCCAGAAGAAGGCUGAAUGGAGGGGUCAGUUCAAAAGGCUGCCAGAGAGAGAAAGAGAGAGGGAGAGAGAGAGAGCUGCUGGCUAGCCAUGAUGUGCCUGAGGCUUUGAAGUGAGGAGUGGAUCUAAAAGGUGUGCAGCCUGUUUUUUUAUGCUGCAACACACUUGGGGCCAAGAAAUAUAAACAGACCCUGGGCUCACUGCAUGGCUAGUCCGAGCCAGAAGGCAGCUGUUCCACACAAGCUGACACCAUACACAGUGUGAAACAACAGUGCAGGGGGGGAAAAAAGGGCCUUCACACAUGCAUGACAACCAACACGGAAAUGCCUUAUGUAAGCAGUCGACAGGGUUGAGGCUCCAUCCCGGCCAGCCUCCCUCUUCCCCUACGAUAAAAACUAACUAAUGUCAGCAACUGAUGUGGUCUCCCAGUUUCAAGGACCUCAGAGCCCCGGCUUUUAGAGUUGUUUCCGAGAGACAGAGGUCUGAAACAUAUGGCAGAAGCACUAAAAAACAACAGCAACAAAAAAAAAAAACAGGAGUCUUACUGACUGAGGGGAAAA